AAUGAACAAAUUGCUUGUACUGUUGAGGCAAUUAAACGAGGAGGAAAUGAAGAGGGUUUAUAUAAAGGUGGUGUUGGGAAUUUGAUUACCAUAUGGACAUUUCUUGGAAGUAACUUCGACUCAAAGGUCGUUUAAUUGAAACGGUAAUUAGCGUGUUGUAAACUACUUGAAAUCAUCAAACUUCAGCUACUACUGCAAUAAAGAAAGAUAUUAAUGGAGACCAAGUAAUAAUAGAACAGGAAACAAAGAUUUUUUUUUUGGAAAGAAUUAGACAAACAAAGAGUUUACUAAUAAUGAUCAAAACAUAAUUUAAUGACCUUUUAAGUUGAAUUUUUUUGAAUAAUUCAGUAAUUAUUUUAUAAAUUUUUUAAAAUUAGAAUGAUCAAGUAAAAACCAGUGUUUAGCAAAUAUUUUUCUCUUAGAGAAAAAGAUUGAUGUUUGAAAUUGACUUCUUCAUGGUGAGAAUAAGUAAAGUGAGGCUCCAAAGCAUUUUAAAGUCAGAGGGGCAUAUUACUUUUCAUCCUUUUGACAAAAAACUGUGUUUAUGUAUUUAUCAUAUUUAUAUUAAUGAGUUUAGGGUGGAUAGUUAUACAUAUUUCAAAUAAUCAGUACAACAAUAGAAAUUUUCAAAAAAAUAUAAUUGAUAUUGACAAUAUUUAAUAAAAUAAAUAAUCUAUAAAUUUAUAAAUCAUUUCAUAUCAAAAUAAUUCUAUUUUUAUUUCCAAAUACAAAAAUGUUAUAUCAUUUCAAAGAUUAAAUUAUUACAUAUUCAAAUAAGUAACCGAUUAAAAUUUUAUGUAAAUUAAUGAUAUAUAAUAAUGUUAUAUGCAAAUAUAAUAAUUAAUUGGUUUUUAUGAUAUCUAAGAUUUAUUCUUAAUUAUAAAUAAUAAUGUGUAAAAAUUGCUUAAUUGUAAAAAUGUAUAAUUUCAUGAUAAAUAAGAAAAAUAAACAAUUUCCAUAAAAAAAGAUUAAAUUAAUCUGUAAAAAUUACAUAAGACUUUUUUUAGACUUAAUUAAAUAGGAGAUACUUAAAUUAUACCUUUUGUUUGAGUACAGUACUUCAAAUUUUCUUUUGGUUAGACUAGGCACUUAAA
rnacentral:lncRNA from 1 species